ensembl:lncRNA
UUUGUUUUCUCAUGAUUUGGUUGGGUCUAAUUGUGUUGCUGUCUCUCUCGCUCCCUCCCUCCCUCCCCCCUCCCCUCCCCUCCCUCCCCCUCCCCUCCCCCUCUGCAUAUUUAACCGUGCCAUCCUGAUGGUGGUCCCUUAAAAGGUCCUGACGGUGUCUUCAGAAUUCUGCCGAGUGGCAGCAUUAUUUUAGUUCUGUGGCCGCUGCUCGUCCUGUCCCCUCCACUCCCAUUGCUGUUCUGCCUGGUUUAGGACUUGCUUUGGAUACUUUUGGAGUUGCACCCCCUGUCCUGUUGGUUUCAACGAUUGAAAGAUUUUCAGUUUUGCGUGUGGCGGGGAGCCUGGAGUCUGAACUUAUCAGCCAGCCAGUCAGGAUGUCUGCAUCGUUCCACGUGAAACAGCACCACCACCACAGUGACAAGAAGCAGCAGCAUGAGAGCAUCAGCCAUCACAGCUCUCGCUCCUCUUUUAGUCAGCUGUCAUAUGCUGCCCACAAGAGAAUCCAGCACAGCACCAUAGGAGUGCAGCAGAGUUUUGUCGAAUCAGAGAAAGGGUCGGAGUUCAUACCUAGCCAGCUGCUGCCGCCGAGAUUCAAGAAGUACCGGGGCCAUGGACCCUGACACCAACGAUGUAAUUGGAUACAUAGUUCCUGUCUCAGGACCAGGUGGGGAGACUGGGAAAAACGAGUAAAAUUGAUAUGUUUCAGAUAGACUUACACUG